rnacentral:lncRNA from 10 species
AUUCUUUUCCCUGCUCCCACUUUCUGUGAUACUGGGCAAGUCACUUCACUUUCCUUAGUGGAUCUGUUUCCUCAUCUCUGAAAUUGUAGAUGCGCCGCACUAUCUGAUGGUUCCCUUCAACUUUGAAGUUCCAUGAUGCAAAAAUAAUGGAUGAGAAGUCUUGUGGGGAAAGUGUGGAGCAUCACACAGAUGGUCAGCCUUCCUCAAGUACAAGUGGCGCCCGGCCUGCUUAUCCAUGGAUCACAGACCAUUCCUCUUGAA